GUAAGAUUACUCCUUGAGAAAAAACUCAGCAAAUUCAACAUUGGGUUUUUGAUACCAACCAAGGACACAGGUCAUCAAGGGUAUUCUCUGGCAGAUUUUUUUGAUUUUUGAGCAAGCAAUAAUUUUCUGUUGAAGUAUUAUUUUCUGUUUUUCUUAAUAACUUAAAAUCACCUGUGCAAAUCAACGAUCGCAUUGCUUUUCAGUUUUCAUUUGCUGACAUACUUCUGACAAACUUUUUCUGACAUACUUCUCAAGUUCAAAUAUGUAGAUAGGAAACUUUGAUUUCUAAAAGAUAAAUUUACUGAUAAGCAUUACUCACCAGACACGCAUCCACAAAUAAACUUCUCCCCUCUUGAUGGUGUUUUGCAUAUUAUAUGGGUUGCAAGUGGUGUGUAAUUCUAACUUUCGUAAAUUAUUCCUCCUAAACUGCGUAUCUUAUCAGAAAGAACUUUUCUUUCUUCAGCGCUGAAAUUUGACAGCAAGAUCUUCGGUCGUUUUCUCAAUGAGUGCUCCGCCAUAUCUUUCCCGCGACGAAUAUUGGCGCCUUUCAUCUCAGUGCCUUGCAUCCUUCGCAGUUCCAGGUACGAGAGCCUCGUAGCCUCUCGAAAGUUCUUCUUCGCUGUUGGGUUAUGGGUGAAGACAAAUUUAAACUCCAAAAGCGAAAAUCAAACUAAAAGAGGCAAUUUUAACGAAAACUCAACAUUAAGAUUUCUUCCACAUGGCAUAGCGUUUACAGAAUUCCAAAUUCUUAUGCCGUGAGCCAAGACAAAUUCUACUGUGAUUGUGAUAGUCACCUCGUUGACACCUCGUCUUUGCUGGGGGUACUCGUCUAUUGAGUUUUCUCCAUAGGAUCUUCCCUUGACAAAUUACCUAUUGAAUACAAGAAUUUUUCACAGAUAGCCGCUAUGUCCAAUAUCCGCUGGCGCCAACAUAUGGGCUGGCCAAGAGCGCUUCAUAAAA